AAAAUCUUCAAUUCUAGAAAUGGAAAAUAAGAAACUCAAAGGUAUCUUUCAUUUGAUAAUUUCACAAAUUAGAAUAGGUAUUUAAUUAUCUUGUGCUCUUAUAAACGGUUUCUGUAUGAUAUUAUUAAUCUUUAACCCUCUAAUGGUUUUUUUUUUUUCCCUUCUGAAAAUGGUUGUUCCUUUAGUUGAAUUCCAAUGGCAGUUUUUUCUGGUUUGGACAACUUUUCCAAUAACAGUUUAUUUCAUAUAGUAACCAUGUCAAAGUGAGGGAAACAUAUUCUGAAAUUUGGAACAGAGUUACCUGAAAACCAAUUCUAGUGAUCUGCAUCUGAUCCAAAUUUGUUCCUUUAGUUUAAUCUAAAUGAUAAAACAUAAAUAACAAAAAUAAAACAAUGAAGAAAUAUGUAGUAGAAUAUAGUUCUUUGGGAGACUAAAGGAUAGAGUUACAACAAGAGCUUAACAUGCAUAGUAUACACUUAUUUACUUACUUUUAUAUUAUUAGUAUAAUACUACACGCUUUCCAUGUUCCCAUUCCCAUUCGGCCACAACAUUUCAGGCAAUAACAGUUUUCAGUUCCAAUUUUACAUCUUUUACAGAUUGUACUACGGAAUAUCACAACUUGAUCUUUGAGGAAAAAAGCAUUCUCGAGCAUUUGGCUAUACUGUUGGGAAAUCAACCUCAUCAGUUGUGGAAACUGUCCCCUGUGCUAGCUGCAGUUGCUAUUCCAUCCUGGUCACCUUUGUUCAGAUUGUAUCUGAGUGAAUUGGAGGCUCAAUUCAAAGGAGAUUUUUCACCAAUUAGUUGCUGCAGUUGCCUUCAAAAUAGGAAGGAACAUAAAGACUGUGAGCUUGCUGAGAGAAUUUGGUGCCUUCACAUCUACCAUGUUUGUGGCUCCCAUCGAACCUGUGGCACAAACUUUGCAUGAACUACUGCUAAUGAGGCAUGACUAUGACAGGCGUCGUUCAGAUCUCCUGUCUUUAUGCACUGCUUAACUGCCAUGCCUCUUUGUUUUGGAGCUUAGUCUGCCCUUUAUAAGGCUGAAUUUUUUUCUGUAGAGGUGGUGAAAGACAGUCCUCGGGAAAAUAUAAAUCCAUGGAGCACAUUUUGAGCUGUAUAGUUAGCCGAGAGGUAUUAGUAGGAUGUGCAUGUAUACAUAUAUAAAGCAAAAAGGUCUUUCUAAUGAACGUGCCCCAAACCCUUAUACUAAAAUUUUGUAAUUUAUAUUUAUUUAUUGAUGUGACACAUUA